rnacentral:tRNA from 1 species
AGGUAAUUAUUUUAAUUAAAAUAUUUGAUUCCGACUCAAAAGCUUAUGGUUUAAACCCACAAUUACCCA